AGCAGCCGCGGUAAUUCCAGCUCCAAUAGCGUAUAUUAAAGUUGUUGCAGUUAAAAAGCUCGUAGUUGAAUUUCGGGACCAAUCUGCCGGUCGUGCCUCCGGUACGCACUGGUUUUAUUGGUUUCUCCCUUCUGACGAACCAUGAUGUCAUUAAUUUGGUGUCAUGGGGAAUCAGGACUGUUACUUUGAAAAAUUAGAGUGUUUAUAGCAGGCUCACGCUUGAAUACAUUAGCAUGGAAUAAUGAAAUAGGACGUUUGACCCUAUUUUGUUGGUUUCUAGGAUCGACGUAAUGAUUAAUAGGGAUAGUUGGGGGCAUUAGUAUUCAAUUGUCAGAGGUGAAAUUCUUGGAUUUAUUGAAGACUAACUACUGCGAAAGCAUUUGCCAAGGAUGUUUUCAUUAAUCAAGAACGAAAGUUAGGGGAUCGAAGACGAUCAGAUACCGUCGUAGUCUUAACCAUAAACUAUGCCGACUAGGGAUCGGAUGAUGUUAAUUUUUAAUGACUCAUUCGGCGCCUUAAC
rnacentral:rRNA from 1 species